rnacentral:rRNA from 1 species
UACGGAGGGGGCAAGCGUUGUCCGGACUUACUGGGCGUAAAGGGUGCGUAGGCGGCCUGUUGCGUCGGUGCUGAAAGCGCCCGGCUUAACCGGGCGAGGCGUGCCGAUACGAGCGGGCUGGAGCCUUGGCGAGGGUGGCGGAACUCCUGGUGUAGUGGUGAAAUGCGUAGAGAUCAGGAAGAACACCCGUGGCGCAAGCGGCCACCUGGCCAAGAGCUGACGCUGAGGCACGAGAGCGUGGGGGAGCGAACCGG